rnacentral:rRNA from 1 species
AUGUCAUUCCAAAAUAAAAUGUACACAUCACAUGCAUAUUUUACUCCCACCUCUUACAUAAAUGUAAUCCUACAUAUGUUUUGUAUCUCCAACACAUGGUAUGGAGGGAGUACUAACACCUCACUGCAGGCUGGUCUACGUAUUUCUGAACUUAUUUUCCUGUUCUUUCAGAAUAUUGUUUCUCAAUGCUAUGUGAUAAGAUUUCUCAUCUGGAAUUCCCUAGAUUCUAUAUUUUCAUUCCUAGCCGUUAACUCCAUGGACAAUGCUACCUCCCUAUAUAAAUCUUCAAGGAAAAUUAGUGUGAGCAAAACUAAGUGCGAUCUUACUAUACAAAACUGCACAUAUGCGAGGUGGUCUCUCAAUUUCACCCUCACUGUCCACUAUGCUAAGAGAACUAUUUGCUUUGAAUUUCCUAAAAGGGGCAAGAGGCCCACCACAACGUGUCACCAUGGAUUUUGUUAUGCUACUUACAUGUAG